rnacentral:rRNA from 1 species
CCCGUGAGACGCCGCCCGUGGUGCGCGGCCACGGGGGAUGACGCGAGGGCGCGCAUCUAGGCGAGCUCCGAACAACCCCUUUGGGCACGGCGAGCGCCAAGGAACAGAAGCGGAAGGGGCAGCCGCCCCACCCGGCGAGAGCGCGCCCCGUCCGGGGACGCGGCAUCGUCAUGGGGAUCUGCCGCCCGUCUCUGAACCAUUUAUAGACGACUCUUGGCAACGGAUAUCUCGGCUCUCGCAUCGAUGAAGAACGUAGCGAAAUGCGAUACUUGGUGUGAAUUGCAGAAUCCCAUGCACCAUCGAGUCUUUGAACGCAAGUUGUUCCCGAGGCCACCCGGCCGAGGGCACGCCUGCCUGGGCUUCACGUCACCCAUCGCCCCCUCCCGCGGCAUUCCCGUGCUUGACCGAGGAGCGGAGACUUACCGUCCAUGCCCGAGUCCUCGGCGCGUGGUAGGCAGAAAAGGAGGACGUCGUGCGGCCCGUCGCUGCUUGUGGGGGUUGAAAGGCAAUCCGUCGCCAAUCGUACGUCGCCCCACCGCGCGUGGCCUCACCCGUGGGGGUUGGACCGCGACCCCAGGUCAAGCGCGGCCAACCGCUGAAUUUAAGCAUAUCAA